rnacentral:rRNA from 1 species
GACAGAGGGUGCAAACGUUGUUCGGAAUUACUGGGCGUAAAGCGUGUGUAGGCGGUCAUGCAAGUCGGAUGUGAAAGCCCCGGGCUCAACCCGGGAAGUGCACUCGAUACUGCGUGACUUGAGUAUCGGAGAGGUUGGUGGAAUUCUCGGUGUAGAGGUGAAAUUCGUAGAUAUCGAGAGGAACACCGGCGGCGAAGGCGGCGACCUGGGCCAAUAUUGACGCUGAGGUGCGAAAGCGUGGGGAGCAAACAGG